AUUGCUAAGAAACAAGAUUCGUCUUAAAGGAAUUCAGUCUCACAGUACUUAACUUAUUAUAUGUGUCAUUGCAGGAAGUUGAUGACAUGAAGUGGAACAAAGAAUCACCGACAAUUGUGCCAGACAUUAUAAGUGUCAUACAAGGAUGACUGAAAACAGCUGCCAAUGUGGCUUUACAGUGAUGGGAUGGUGAUACACAUACAACAGAAACUACACUUUGAAUUUUGACAGUUUCCUGGGAUAGUGAUAUGUGGUACAAUACUCUCUUGUGAUGUUUGGCAUGAACAGAGAACCACAGCUCCCAAUCAGCCAUGAAAUCACUGAUGUUUUUUUGACUGUACUGCCUUUGCAGUUUUGUCAAAGAUCAUGUGUCUCUCUCUAUAUAUGUGGGUCUAUUUAUGGACUCUAUUCUGAUGAUUUAUUUAUGUGCCUUUACACCAUAUCACACUGUCUUAAUGAUUGUAGCUUUAAGAUUUAGUCUUUAAAUCAAUGUUGAAUUAAGUCAGUGAGGAAUUCUCCAACUCUGUUCUUGUUUUUCAAAAUAAUUUUGGCUAC